ensembl:lncRNA
AAAAAAUGUGUAAUUGAGGAACUGUAUGAGUUUGACUUCUUCUCAGAUUUACUUGGAGAUUUGGGUUCUCAGAUUGCCUUGUCACUUCCGUGAGUCAAAAUUCAACUAUUCAAAAUGCAUUUACAUGUGUAUAUAAUUUUGUCUUCACACAUUAAAUUUCAUGUUAUUGUCUAAAGGCUGAGCACCAUUAAGAAAUUUCCACAAGAUAAGAUGGAUUCCCUGAGGAAAGUUAUAAUACAGGACCCAUAUUACUUCCUACUGCUUCCCAGCACCAAACAAGCUGUCCUGGUGGACAAGAUGGUUCAAAGACUGAAUAUGCACACUGGCCUGUACACUGAAGAGGAGUUUCGUUCACUAGGUGUCAUGGCUACAUUUGUGACAGAUAAAAUGUUUCAGAAAUUGGAUAGGAGCUUUUUUGUUGAUGGUCUGGAGUUCCUACAAAGAUUCUGCUACAAUGCCAGUAAACGGGACCUGGUGGCAGACAUGCUACAAGAACAGGGGACAUUUGGGUAAGGACAGUUAAAACUUUAUUUUCUAGUUUCUAUUAAAUUACUUUAAGUGAAUGCUCACAUCAAAUCCAACUAGUUGGCAAUAAACUGUUUUCUCUGCAUAGCCCUGUAAAAAACUGGACAUCAGAGACACUGAACCAAGUGGACCGCUUCUUGUUUUUUCUCCCGAAGGACACUAUUCAGCUCAUCCCCUUAGGUUUGAUGAGCUUAGAGCGCAUUGAGAGGCUGUUCCUGAGUCAGCAGAAGUGGGAGAGGGAAGAGUAUGGCUCUCUGUGUCAGAAACCCUCAGAGCUGUUUGAGAAGAAACAGUUUGUGCUUCAGUUCUUCCUCGGCUUCCUCAGAAUAGGACGUGCCCCUUACACUGGACUGAUCCCCUCUUGUGAGAGCCUGCAUGUGACACAGCCUGCUGCCUGGACUAUUGACAGCCUUAGAAACAUGCCACAAGCUGCAUUUCGGAGGUGCUUGGAGCUCAUUGGCCAGGAUCCAUUUUUCAGUUCAUCUGAGCUGUUAAUGCUUCUUACAAAGACCAAAGAGGUGCCUGAAUUUGUCCAUCAGCUUAUAUGCUCCUAA